rnacentral:lncRNA from 1 species
CUCACGAAUUGAGAGAGCUUCGGGCUCUCAAGGAUGUUGUGAAGCGGGGGAAAAAGAGCUCCUUUUCCAUUGCCAGACGCCGGCCAUGGUGGUGACGUGACGGGAUCGGUAGACCGCCGGCCAUUUGAGGGGUGGAGAGCCCUCUUUCUUUUUUUUUUUUAUUUUUUACGGCUGAAGAUGAAAUUAGGGUUGGUUUUGAAGCUUUUAAAUCCUCUUUAAACGGUGUCGUUUAGGCUUGGGGUUCAGAGACCAAAAACGGCAUCAUUUUGGUCUCUGACCCGCGACCCGACCCGUCCAAUGCCCAGGAUCCGCGCGUUUUUCCUUUGGGGAUAUUAUUCGCGUUGGUCCUUCCAUUCUUCAGCGCGUUUCAAUGCAGUGCUACCUUUUA